rnacentral:rRNA from 1 species
CCUACGGGAGGCAGCAGUGGGGAAUAUUGGACAACGGGGGGAACCCUGAUCCAGCCAUGCCGCGUGUGUGAAGAAGGCCCUCGGGUUGUAAAGCACUUUCAGUGAGGAAGAACGCCUGGUGGUUAAUACCCAUCAGGAAAGACAUCACUCACAGAAGAAGCACCGGCUAACUCCGUGCCAGCAGCCGCGGUAAUACGGAGGGUGCGAGCGUUAAUCGGAAUUACUGGGCGUAAAGCGCGCGUAGGUGGCUUGAUAAGCCGGUUGUGAAAGCCCCGGGCUCAACCUGGGAACGGCAUCCGGAACUGUCAAGCUAGAGUGCAGGAGAGGAAGGUAGAAUUCCCGGUGUAGCGGUGAAAUGCGUAGAGAUCGGGAGGAAUACCAGUGGCGAAGGCGGCCUUCUGGACUGACACUGACACUGAGGUGCGAAAGCGUGGGUAGCAAACAGGAUUAGAUACCCUUGUAGUC